GGAUGUGAGGGCGAUCUGGUUGCGACAUCUGUCACCCCAUUGAUCGCCAGGGUUGAUUCGGCUGAUCUGGCUGGCUAGGCGGGUGUCGCCUUCCUCCCUCACCACUCCAUGUGCGUCCCUCCCGAAGCUGCACUCUCGGUCGAAGAGGACGACCUUCCCCGAUAGAGGAGGACCGUUCUUCGGUCAAGGGUAUACGAGUAGCUGUGCUCCCCUGCUAGAACCUCCAAACAAGCUCUCAAGGUCCAUUUGUAGGAGAAUGUAGGGUAGUUAAAAAAAAAAAAAAAAAAGUCCUUUUCUUU
rnacentral:snRNA from 1 species